UACGUAGGGUCCGAGCGUUGUCCGGAAUUACUGGGCGUAAAGAGCUCGUAGGCGGUUUGUCGCGUCUGCUGUGAAAACUGGAGGCUCAACCUCCAGCCUGCAGUGGGUACGGGCAGACUAGAGUGCGGUAGGGGAGAUUGGAAUUCCUGGUGUAGCGGUGGAAUGCGCAGAUAUCAGGAGGAACACCGAUGGCGAAGGCAGAUCUCUGGGCCGUAACUGACGCUGAGGAGCGAAAGCGUGGGGAGCGAACAGG
rnacentral:rRNA from 1 species